rnacentral:rRNA from 1 species
GAUGAACGCUGGCGGCGUGCUUAACACAUGCAAGUCGAACGGGGAACAUUUUAAAGAAGCUUCGGCAGAUUUAGUUUGUUCCUAGUGGCGGACGGGUGAGUAACGCGUGGGUAACCUGCCUCACACUGGGGGAUAACAGUCAGAAAUGACUGCUAAUACCGCAUAAGCGCACAGAGCUGCAUGGCUCAGUGUGAAAAACUCCGGUGGUGUGAGAUGGACCCGCGUUGGAUUAGCCAGUUGGCAGGGUAACGGCCUACCAAAGCGACGAUCCAUAGCCGGCCUGAGAGGGUGGACGGCCACAUUGGGACUGAGACACGGCCCAGACUCCUACGGGAGGCAGCAGUGGGGAAUAUUGCACAAUGGGGGAAACCCUGAUGCAGCGACGCCGCGUGAAGGAAGAAGUAUCUCGGUAUGUAAACUUCUAUCAG